rnacentral:lncRNA from 14 species
UGGAUCUGGUAGAAGAGCAGUCAGAGGGUGGAGGAGAAACCGAGAACAGGUUAGCGUUAAGGAAAUAAGCAGAGGCUCGUCAGCAGCCCUUCAUGCGAUAGGUUGACAAGAGAAGUGAGGUGUGAGGGAGCCAUGAAAUUGGACCUUGUGGAUCCUUUGGGUUGGACUUUGUUUAUCACAGUCUCAUAGCCCAUCUGGCCUCACACUCACCAUGUAGCCAAAGUUGACUGUACUAACUUUUCAUCCCGUUGCCUUACCUCCCGACUUCUAGAACAAAAUGUGAGACACCACGUCACAUGGAUCAAACUCAGAGCCUCAGACAUGCUAGGCACCUGCACAGCCACUGAGCUGUAGCCUCCACCCCACCAUAGUGACCACCCUGAAAGGUUACCAUGUGCCCUUAGACGUGUCUUACCAUGUGGUCAUUACCUGGUUCUUCUGCAGGAAAAUAACUGUAAUCACUAAAGAGACUUGUAUAUUCACACAGGCCAACAACAGGCUGGAGUUGUUACCCACCCUCCUGCAGUGCCUCCAAGACCUCAGCCCUCACAGGCACCGGGUCCCUCUGUCCACCGCCCAGUGGAUGCCGAUGGUCUAAUAACUCACACUAGUACCUCACCUCAGCAGAUACCAGAACAACCAAAUUUUGCAGAUUUCAGCCAAUUUGAAGUAUUCGCUGCAUCAAAUGUCUCUGAAGAACAAGACAGUGAAGCCGAAAAACACCCUGAGGUCUUGCCGGCUGAAAAAGCUUCUGACCCCUCAAGCUCUCUUCGAGUUGCCCAAGCAGACAGUAAAAUCGAAGAAAAGACAGCCGCUGGUGUUCCUGCCAAUGUGAGCAAAGGCACAACACCUCUGGCUCCACCACCAAAACCUGUUCGGAGAAGAUUAAAGUCAGAAGAUGAGUUGCGGCCAGAUGUGGAUGAGCACACACAAAAGACAGGUGUCUUAGCUGCUGUUCUAGCGUCUCAGCCGUCUAUCCCCAGAUCUGUGGGGAAAGAUAAGAAGGCGAUCCAGGCAUCAAUUAGACGCAAUAAGGAGACCAACACCGUUCUGGCCAGACUGAACAGUGAAUUGCAACAGCAAUUAAAGGAUGUCCUUGAGGAGAGAAUUUCCCUGGAAGUUCAACUGGAACAGCUCCGACCGUUCUCUCACCUCUAA